rnacentral:rRNA from 1 species
CUACGGGGGGCUGCAGUGGGGAAUAUUGGACAAUGGGCGAAAGCCUGAUCCAGCAAUGCCGCGUGUGUGAAGAAGGCCUGCGGGUUGUAAAGCACUUUCAGAGGGGAGGAAGGUAUUAGUUCUAACAGGACUGAUAAUUGACGUUACCCUCAGAAGAAGCACCGGCAAACUCUGUGCCAGCAGCCGCGGUAAUACAGAGGGUGCGAGCGUUAAUCGGAAUUACUGGGCGUAAAGGGUGCGUAGGUGGCAACGUAAGUUAGGUGUGAAAUCCUCGGGCUUAACCUGAGAAUUGCGCUUAAUACUGCGUCGCUAGAGUACUAUAGAGGGCAGUGGAAUUUCCAGUGUAGCGGUGAAAUGCGUAGAUAUUGGAAGGAACACCAGUGGCGAAGGCGACUGCCUGGAUAGAUACUGACACUGAGGCACGAAAGCGUGGGUAGCAAACAGGAUUAGAUACCCCAGUAGUC